AGGCAGCACUCUACCAACUACUACAAGUGGAGCGUUAGAUGGCACACACACUUCCCCAUUGAUCAGCAUAGAAGACAAGGUUGAAGGCAGCACUCUUCCAACUACUACAAGUGAAGCCCCAGACGACACCCACACUUCCCCAAAGAUCAGCACAGAAGACAAGGUUCAAGGCAGCACUCUUCCAACUACUACAAGUGGAGCGUUAGAUGGCACCCACACUUCCCCAUCGAUCAGCAUAGAAGACAAGGUUGAAGAGCGAAGCCGCCUCAGAACUUUCUAUUUUAUUGGAAAAAGCGUAAAUCAGUCUGAAGCUCGAGCAGCUUGCAGAGCAAAGGCCACUAUCCUGGUUACUGUGUAUAAUGAUGAAGAUAUCAAGGCACUUUCUAAUCUGACUGGAAUCAGCUGUGCAUGGACUGGUCUGUACAGGAAUAAAUUCAGUUAUAAAUG